rnacentral:rRNA from 1 species
AUUUUUGGACAAUGGGGGCAACCCUGAUCCAGCCAUCCCGCGUGUGCGACGAAGGCCUUCGGGUCGUAAAGCACUUUUGGCAGGGAAGAAAAGGAGCCGGAUAAUACCUGGCGUCGCUGCCGGUACCUGCAGAAUAAUCACCGGCUAACUACGUGCCAGCAGCCGUGGUAAUACGUAGGGUGCAAGCGUUAAUCGGAAUUACUGGGCGUAAAGCGUGCGCAGGCGGUUCGGAAAGAAAGAUGUGAAAUCCCAGGGCUUAACCUUGGAACUGCAUUUUUAACUGCCGGGCUAGAGUAUGUCAGAGGGGGGUAGAAUUCCGCGUGUAGCAGUGAAAUGCGUAGAGAUGCGGAGGAAUACCGAUGGCGAAGGCAGCCCCCUGGGAUAAUACUGACGCUCAUGCACGAAAGCGUGGGGAGCAAAC